rnacentral:misc_RNA from 1 species
AACACUGUUAACCUGCGGUACCUGCGGAAGGAUCAUUACCGAGUUUACAACUCCCAAACCCCUGUGAGCAUACCAAUUGUUGCCUCGGCGGAUCAGCCCGCUCCCGGUAAAACGGGACGGCCCGCCAGAGGACCCCUAAACUCUGUUUCUAUAUGUAACUUCUGAGUAAAACCAUAAAUAAAUCAAAACUUUUAACAACGGAUCU